CAGCGCACUCCGGGGUCGGUGUAAUUCCGAACCGGCGGUAUAGUCCGCGACCCGUCCGCAGCCAGCGGCCGGUUGACCAGGUGAAAUUCCUGGACCGACGGUGAAAGUCCGGAUGGGAGGCAGUGCGCGG
rfam:Streptomyces venezuelae ATCC 10712 complete genome